rnacentral:tRNA from 1 species
AUCUUUUGAGUAUGAAGAAGUACAUUUGCCUUCCAAGCAGAAAGUUUAAAUAAUUUUAAAAGAGAUA